AAUAAUGGCCUGGGGAGGACAGGUAUGUUAUAAUGGGCUGGGGAGGACAGGUAUGUUAUAAUGGGCUGGGGAGGACAGGUACGUUAUAAUGGGCUGGGGAGGACAGGUAUGUUAUAAUGGGCUGGGGAGGACAGGUACGUUAUAAUGGGCUGGGGAGGACAGGUACAUUAUAAUGGGCUGGGGAGGACAGG